CAUGGUAUGCACUGGCUCGCUGACUCCUCCUUCUUGUAGAACCGUAAUGCAAUUAAUUUGGUGUUGCGGGGAAACAGGACUGUUACUUUGAAAAAAUUAGAGUGUUUAAAGCAGGCCAACGCCUGAAUACAUUAGCAUGGAAUAAUGAAAUAGGACGUUCGAACCUAUUUUGUUGGUUUCUAGGAUUGACGUAAUGAUUAAUAGGGAUAGUUGGGGCAUUAGUAUUCAAUUGUCAGAGGUGAAAUUCUUGGAUUUAUUGAAGACUGACUACUGCGAAAGCAUUUGCCAAGGAUGUUUUCAUUAAUCAAGAACGAAAGUUAGGGGAUCGAAGACGAUCAGAUACCGUCGUAGUCUUAACCAUAAACUAUGCCGACCAGGGAUCGGAUGAUGUUAAUUUUUUAAUGACUCAUUCGGCGCCUUACG
rnacentral:rRNA from 1 species